rnacentral:rRNA from 1 species
AUUGAACGCUGGCGGCAUGCUUUACACAUGCAAGUCGGACGGCAGCGGGGUAGUGCUUGCACUACUGCCGGCGAGUGGCGCACGGGUGAGUAAUAUAUUGGAACGUACCGAGUAAUGGGGGAUAACCAAUCGAAAGAUUGGCUAAUACCGCAUACGCUCUGAGGAGGAAAGAAGGGGACCUUCUGGCCUUGCGUUAUUCGAGCGGCCAAUAUCUGAUUAGCUAGUUGGUGGGGUAAGGGCCUACCAAGGCGACGAUCAGUAGCGGGUCUGAGAGGAUGAUCCGCCACACUGGGACUGAGACACGGCCCAGACUCCUACGGGAGGCAGCAGUGGGGAAUUUUGGACAAUGGGCGCAAGCCUGAUCCAGCCAUGCCGCGUGUCUGAAGAAGGCCUUCGGGUUGUAAAGGACUUUUGUUAGGGAAGAAAAAGGAGCGGUUAAUACCCGUUUCUGCUGACGGUACCUAAAGAAUAAGCACCGGCUAACUACGUG